rnacentral:ncRNA from 1 species
GGUGGGAACGCACGGCCGCAAAUCUGACUCGCCGUCGACGCGACGGCUCGGGAUUGCGGUAGUGU